rnacentral:rRNA from 1 species
AUUGAACGCUGGCGGCAGGCCUAACACAUGCAAGUCGAACGGUAACAGGAAGAAGCUUGCUUCUUUGCUGACGAGUGGCGGACGGGUGAGUAAUGUCUGGGAAACUGCCUGAUGGAGGGGGAUAACUACUGGAAACGGUAGCUAAUACCGCAUAACGUCUCAAGACCAAAGAGGGGGACCUUCGGGCCUCUUGCCAUCGGAUGUGCCCAGAUGGGAUUAGCUAGUAGGUGGGGUAACGGCUCACCUAGGCGACGAUCCCUAGCUGGUCUGAGAGGAUGACCAGCCACACUGGAACUGAGACACGGUCCAGACUCCUACGGGAGGCAGCAGUGGGGAAUAUUGCACAAUGGGCGCAAGCCUGAUGCAGCCAUGCCGCGUGUAUGAAGAAGGCCUUCGGGUUGUAAAGUACUUUCAGCGGGGAGGAAGGGAGUAAAGUUAAUACCUUUACUCAUUGACGUUACCCGCAGAAGAAGCACCGGCUAACUCCGUG